rnacentral:lncRNA from 1 species
GGAGAUAUCCCUCCGCAGAGCUGGGUCUGGCCGCGGGCGGGGAAGCAGGAAGUAAGGUGUCCAGCGCCGCGACCGGCUGGUCGUCCGCCUCGGCCCCCGCCCGCGUCCCCUUUCCCCCGGGGCGCAGCGCUACGGCGGGCGCGGGCCGCCCGGCGCAUUGUUCGCAGCCUUCGCGGCGGUGCGCUGCUGACUUUAUUUGUGCGCUUUGCGUGUGCGUGAGGUUGCACCUUUUGUAGGCUGGCGAGUCUCUGGACGAGGAUGGGACGGGGGACACGGGCCCAGUUGCGGCCCUGCGCGAGCGGGACCUGUCAGCCCUGAGGUGCAGCGGACCCUCCGGCAUGGCCGGAAAAUCGAGGCCGGGGAGAAGGCAGCGUGGCCGGGAAGCUGCCGCCUUAAACCCGGACCAGUGCAGGAUUGCUUCCUGCGUAGCCGUCCCGGUUAUUGUAACACGCUUUGCAAGCUAACGACUGGGAAUAAAGCCAAGUUGUGAUUUCGCCUCUACAGACCUCUCUACCCGCCCAGCUCUUCCUCGGAUAUUGUUGAAUGCAUUCACAUGGUUCCAAAUUCAAAUAAACAGCAAGAAGUCUCCCUCCCACCCUGUCUGCCACCCACUUGGUUUUCCUUCUCUGGAGGCAACCUGGGUUAGUGGUCAGAAGAUGCAUUUAACUGUUUUCCAGCUGAGGCCUUGUGAGAACUCCUCGGACACCAAUUUAAAUCUUUAUGUCCAGAACUCCUUUCUCCAAUCCAGGUAGAGCCACUCCCCUAUCCUAUCCCCACUCCCACCCUUCCCCCCUUCAGCCUCAAUCCUAAGCAGGCUCUAUUAACAAUGAUGAGCCACCAUUUCCUCGAGCUACUAACAAAUGCAAAUGUUUAAAUACUUUGUGGUUCUUUUUCCUCUUCUACAUUAAUUGCUAACAUUUAUCGAGGGCUUUCCGUGUGCCACGCACUGUGCUAAAUACUAGGCAUGCAUAUUCUUAUUUAAUCUGCCCCAAAUCUUCAUCAUUAUCCUUAUUUACAGAUGCAGACAGAAAUGAAAGUUCAGAGAGAUUAUGUAAUUUGCACCAAUUUGCAUCCAGGCCAACCUGAAUCCAAACCCUAUCUCUUUUUACUUUUUCUUUCCUUUUUUUUUUUUUUUUUAAACAGGGUCUCACUCUUGUCAGCCCAGAUGGCAUGCAGUGGCACAGUCUAUGGAGGCAAUCAGGGUUAGCUGUCAGCUCACUGUGGCCUCAACCUCCCAGGCGCAAGUGAUCCUCCCACCUCAGCAUCCCCAGUAGCUGGGACUACAGGUGUACGCCACUACCCCCAGCUAAUUUUUGUAUUUUUUUGUAGAGAUGAGGUUCCACCAUUCUUGCCCAGACUGGUUUCGAACUCCUGGACUCAAGCGAUUUGCCUGCCUCGGCCUCAAAAAGUGCUGGGAUUACAUGCAUGAGCCACCACACCCGGACCCUCUCUCUUAAAUAGUGGCCCUUUUGCCUCUCUGCAACACAGGAAAAAUUCUGUUAGCCUGCAUCAGAAGGAGUGGCAUGGAGGCUUUGGAGUUAAGAAGAUUUAAUUCAAAUUAUGUGUCCGGUGCCUGCCAGCAAUGAGACCUUGGUAAGGUUUCUUAACCUCUCUGAGCUGGGACCAUACCUUCUGCGUUGGUUUAAUAUAAAGGUUAAAUGCAUGUAAAUAAAUGACUUCUAAAAUAAAUAACAUUCUAAAAUGUUAGUAACAACUAAAUACAAUAUUUAGAUCUUGUGAGGAUUUGAUUUGAAUAAAUAAGAUUUUUUUAAAAGACAUUUUUGAGACAAAAUGUAGACUAUCUGAUAUUAAGAAAUUAAUCACUUUUUCAGAUAUGAUAAUGGCAUUGCAGUUUUUUUUAAGUUCUUAUCUAUUACAGAUACAUAAUGAGGCAUUUUGAGUGAAAAUAUAUCUAGGAUUUGCUUUCCAAUACUCCAUCCCCUCCCCAUCAAAACACUAAAUAAAUGAAACAAGAUUAGUGAAAUACGGAAAAUUGUUGAAGUUAUUCAUUAUUCCAUUUCCCAUAUGGAACUUUCCAUACUAGUUUCCCUACUGCUGUUGAAUAUUUGACAUGUUUCAAAUACAUUUGAAAUAAAUUUAUUGUCUGAGAUGAUCAGGUUGAAAAAUAAUAAAAUGAAAUAAAUUUAAAAGUAAAAUAAACAUAACCCUUUUAAGCAUUAAAAUUAAAAAUUAUGAGGCUUGUUGAAUUAUUACUGUUAUAAAUAAUUACAUACAUGUAUUUUUGAAACAGUCUUGCUCUUUCACCCAGGCUGCAGUGCAGUGGCAUAAUCACAGUUCACUGCGGCCUCAACCUCCCAGGCUCAGGUGAUCCUUGCACGUCUGCCUCCCAAGUAGCUGGGACUGCAGGUGUGCACCACCAUGCCUGGCUAAAUUUUUCUCUUUUGUAGAGACGGGUUUUGCGAUUUUGCCCACACUGGUCUUAAAGUCCUGGG